GGGCCGGAAGAUGGCGCAGCCCAGUUGCGGCCGGGCCCGUUGGCGCUGGUGGUUCCCGGCUGGGGCUUCCCCGGCUUGAGGGACCUUCGGGGCCGGUGUCCCGGCAGCUCCGGUGUCUCGGUGCCGGCGGAGAUGGACCAGCGCCUGGCUGAGCUGGUGGAAGAGCUCACCACCUCGGGGGAGCCGCGGCUGGAACCCGGCAGGAUGAAGGAGCUGAAGAAGAUCUGCAGGUCGUCGGAGGAGCACAUCAGCCACGCCUACCACCUGCUGGUGACGCGGCUCCAAGAGGAGCACGCCGAGAUGCGCUUCUCCGCCUUCCAGGUGGUGCAGGAGUUGUUCGCCAGGUCCCACCAGUUCAGGACGCUGCUUAUCUCCAACUUCCAGGAGUUCCUGGAGCUCACGGUGGGCAUAGACCACGAGCAGCCGCUUCCCCCGCCCAAGGAGGUGGCGCAGAAGCUGAGGAGAGCGGCCAUCAAGGCAGUGCAGGACUGGCACGAGAAGUACGGGGAGGCCUACAAGCAGCUUUCCCUGGGAUACCACUUCCUAAAGCAGAACAAGAAGGUGGAUUUUCAAGAUGUGCAUGCCAGAACUGUGGCUGAAAGGAGGAGGGAAGAGGAGAAGCAAAAACGACUGGAGAACAUUUACAAAGAAAAAGUCAAAAGAACUGAAAAAGAAAUGGAAGAAAUGUCCCAAGAGAUUGCUGAUACACUGACAGAGAUGGAAAACUGUUUCCAGCUUCUGAUGCCAGAUCCCUUCAAUUUUGGGAUGAAUGACAUUGACCCGGAACUCAGCAAACAAACGUCUGCUAAUGAGGCUGGACCUGCAUCCCCCUUAUCCUCCCAGGGGGAAGUUAACCCAUCCUAUUUGGGGUGCAUGGAUGAUGAACAGCCAUGCUGCAGCAAGGACAUUCUUCCUGUUUCUCAGUGUGUUACACCUGAUGGAACCAAAGAGAUAGAUGAGAAGCCUGAGCAAAAAGAGCUGGAUGGAGGAACAUGCUCGGACAUUCAGCACAGUGGCCCUCCUUUCGAUGAUGAUGAUGAUGAGUACCAGACUUUUGUUAGGAACCAUGGGCUUAUUUCACAUAAAUAUACUCUAGACCUUGAAAUCUCCACAGAUAUAAAAGUGCAAGAGAAUGAUGAUAAUACUGCCAUCAUAAACAGUGUUAUGGAUGCUCACAAACUUCUCAGAAAUAAGUUCUGGCCUUCUGUGCAGUCCUGGAUUCAGCUACUUACCAGAGCAGGAAUCAAUGAUGAUCGGCUAAGAUGUGCCAUUGAACUCAAGAAUAAUUUGGAGACUGCUAUGAAGAAAUACAAGGAAAUGAACAUUUCCUUUAAAGCAAGAAAAAGAAAAGUGAUGAAAGCCUCAGAUGAUGAUGACGAUGAUGAGGAUGAAGAUGAAUUUGUGGAGGUCCCUGAGAAGGAAGGUUAUGAGCCCCACAUUCCAGACCACCUGCGUAAGGAAUAUGGGCUUGAACCCCAGUCACCUCCCCAAGGCCCGGUGGUGAAGGUGUCAUCAGGAGCAGCUCUGCCGAGCUCCCGCACUCAGCUCAAAGGGAACGAGGAUGAACUCGAUCCAACCUGUGCAGCUGCCACCCUGAAACUUAUUAGAGACAAGCUACCAAGGUUGCCAUCUCCUCGUGCCAGUGAAUCUGCAACUUCUGAGACAGAAAACUUGGAAGAUCCUGACAGUAAAAGAAGAAAACUAGAAGAAAGAGCUAAAGCUCCCCUCAUGCCUUUUGGAUUAGAUCUUCACUACUGGGGAGAGGAUCAGCCAAGUGCUGGGAAGAUUCUCAAAUUUACAUCUGAGCAUCGAUUUUGGGCACCCAGUGAAGUAGAGGAAGAGGUGGAAAACAAAGAAAUAACAGAAAUGUUAAAAACCAGGUAUAUAACAUUUGCUGGCAAGUUUGAGCCAGUAAAACACAAAUGUCGAGCACCCAUGCCUGGUGGAACUCUGUGUGAAAGACAAGAUCGGAUUAAGUGCCCUUUCCAUGGAAAGAUAAUUCCUCGGGAUGACUCUGGGAUUCCUGUAAAUGCAGAGGACAGAGCCAGAGAAGAAAAGAUGAAGUUUGAGAAGCAAAUGGCCCAGCCAGCUAAACCCCAUUAGUGAUGGACAGAAGAUAUCUGGUGGACUACAACCAGGAAGCUACUGGAAGUUGAUGGACUGCAAAGGAAAAUGGGAGAGAGGGAUCUAUCCAGCAAAGACACAAUGUAUAAUUGCAGAGGACAGCUUUUCUUUAAAUCUGCCUUCCUCCAGCAGGUCCUAGUUUUCUCUGGUUUGAGCUAUUUAUUCUAGGUUUGGCUGACUUGGUGUUUGACAAUUAUGUGUAUUAGUAAUGAAGCUACUGAGCCUUUCAUGAAACCUCUUGAGAGCCUGAGGAGCAGUUACCUGUAUUCAGGUAUUCAGUAUUCAGAGCAGGAAUCUGUAUUCAGAAAGGUGUGUGGAAUGAAUGUGCAUUUAAACAUACAAUUGACCCACCCAGUGUCCUUUAAUACUUGUUUGGCCAUCUUUGAGUGACUGUGCUUGGUGAUUACAGCACCACACCAGCCAGCGAUUAAUGAACACUUUCUGGUAUUUGUAGGUGUCAAAGUGCUACAUUUGCAGAUAGUUUCUGUCCCUGUCCAGGUAGAGCAAGUAUGGCAUCCAUCCUAAACUGGCAUCCAGCCAGCAGCACAGACACUGUUGAACUGUCAAACAAGAUAGGGGUGUGGAUGUUAUGUUAAAAAAGAAAGUUCCCAUCUUAGUUAUGACAAACUAAAACUAGAAGAUUAAACUGAUAGGUGUUGUUGAAAUCUCAAACUAGAACCUAAUAUUCUGGUAUAAAAAUCACUUGGACUGAAAAAUAUUGAUUUUUUUUUCCCUGUGAAAUUGCCAUUGCUUGAGGCUAGACAUUGUAUUUAUUUUUAUUACAGUGUCAGCUCAGUGUUGUUAGAGGCUUCUCACCUCUGCUCCACAAGGAUGUGUCUGUUAGUCCCAAACCAGUAUUGGCAUUGCUCCUUGUGUUAUUGAGUGUGGUUGUUAAGCUGAGAUGUAGAUGUCACACAAAGGUCCACCCCAUCUGGCUGGGGAUGUACUGCACAAGAUAUGGCACUUAAUUUGCACAAACCCCUCCAUGUUUCUAAAGCCAUAUGUAUACCAGAUUACCAGAUGUCACUAAAUACUUCUAUCAACUUUAUUUUCUUCUGCCUCACUAUUUUUACAUUUGCUUUAGAGCAUUUUCACCAACUCUUCUCUUCUCUUCUCUUCUCUUCUCUUCUCUUCUCUUCUCUUCUCUUCUCUUCUCUUCUCUUCUCUUCUCUUCUCUUCUCGGGGGUUGGGUUUUUUUUUUUUCUUUUUGUUUUUUUACUUGUUUUGAGGUUUAUGUGGUUUGGAGGGGUGUGUUUGAUUGGUUUUCAGUGGUGUUUGGUUUUGGUGUUUUUUUUUUUUUUUUUGUUUACAAAGUUCUUGAAGCAAAUCUGAGCAGUGCUGCUAUGGGAUAUACUACUGGGAACCCACUGAACAGCCAGAAACUGUUUGACAACAUCAUUAAUGAUGGCAGUUAGUAAAAUUGGGGAAAAAAAAACCCACUUUAAUUUGGGGAUCAGCUGUAUGGUUAAACUGCACCAAAAUUCUUCUCAUGUCUCCUUCCUUCUGAAUGGUAGAUUUAUUUAUAUCUUUGUGUGAUUGAAAGGGGGAACAGUUAUAUAUAAUAGUCAUAUGGUUUGUGUGCUAAUGACUGUGUUUUGACAGCACUGUCAUUGUUAUUAUGGGCCAUUUCUUAUCUUAGUAGAGAAUUUUACACUCUAGCUAGAGUCCACAGAAAGGUGCUUUGGGCUCUUCAGUUGUGGAACAGUGAAUCAGGUGGGAUUACGCUGACCCGCUAAUCUGCAGCGUUCAUCCUUUUCCAAUAGUUCGCACACAGGAGCAAAUUAAGUGCCUAUUUUUUGUGUCAACCCUGAAGAGUAUCUGGUUUUUCAGCCCUUAGUGACUUGUUAACAAACAGGUAUCAGGACAGGCUGGUGAAGGCAGGCCUCUGGCCACUCAGAUGUGAAAUAGCAUCUCUUUACUAACUACAGUAUUGAUUCCCGCCUACCCUUGCAAACUGUGUAAUUUUCUUUUCCCUGCUGCUAAACUCAGUAACAAUGUAUGAAGAGCUUUAGGGGCCCAUCAAUGCUCAAAAAGCCUGCUCUUCCCUGGCAUUCUAUUGAUUUUUCUCAAAAGCUUUUAAAUUGCUCCUUCAUUUUACUCAAAUGCUCAUUUCAUCUCUACUGGAUGCCGGCAUUUUUUCCUUGUGUUUAAACAAUUGCUCCAUUCACAGGGUUCCUAAACUGUGACGCCUUCUUAUUACUGGGAGAUAAACUGUUUAGACAGUUUUCCUUAAUCUUGGAUUAAUCGUUCCUGUAUCUGAAUUGUGCUGUUCUGUAUUCCCUCACUUCAAAAAAAAAAAAAAGAAAAAAUAAAGUCUGUGAGGUCUUAUUAUCCAUCAAAUAUAUGUGUUCUAUUUUCUCCCUUUGUAACUCUCCUGUGCAGCUCUUGAACAGCUUCGUUUUCCUCAUGCUUUUUGGCGUGUUGGAUUUUAAACAGUCCUUGCUUUCAUGUAUGAUGGUAGUUUAGAUCCAAACUUUCCUUGGAAAAUUGCUCUGGUAUUCCUUAACACCGUGUUCUUAAGUGAGGACAUUGCCUCUGACCUUCUUGAAAUGUUGUUAGCAGUGUUUGUCACACUCAGCGACCAUCUUGGUGUAUAAAUGAAGUUAUAUAGUCCUUUAGGACUGUUUAUUUUUCUACAUCUACAAAGUUGUUAUGUAAGAGGAGUAGACAUUUGGUGUUGCAAU